rnacentral:rRNA from 1 species
GGGGAAUAUUGGACAAUGGGCGCAAGCCUGAUCCAGCCAUGCCGCGUGAGUGAUGAAGGCCUUAGGGUUGUAAAGCUCUUUCAGCUGGGAAGAUAAUGACGGUACCAGCAGAAGAAGCCCCGGCUAACUUCGUGCCAGCAGCCGCGGUAAUACGAAGGGGGCUAGCGUUGUUCGGAAUCACUGGGCGUAAAGCGCACGUAGGCGGAUCGAUAAGUCAGGGGUGAAAUCCCGAGGCUCAACCUCGGAACUGCCUUUGAUACUGUCGAUCUUGAGUCCGGGAGAGGUGAGUGGAACUCCGAGUGUAGAGGUGAAAUUCGUAGAUAUUCGGAAGAACACCAGUGGCGAAGGCGGCUCACUGGCCCGGUACUGACGCUGAGGUGCGAAAGCGUGGGGAGCAAAC